GAUGAACGCUAGCUACAGGCUUAACACAUGCAAGUCGAGGGGAAACGCCAUCGAAAGCUUGCUUUUGAUGGGCGUCGACCGGCGCACGGGUGAGUAACGCGUAUCCAACCUGCCCAUCACUUGGGAAUAACCUUGCGAAAGUAAGACUAAUACCCAAUGACAUCCCACGAAGACAUCUGAAUGGGAUUAAAGAUUUAUCGGUGAUGGAUGGGGAUGCGUCUGAUUAGCUUGUUGGCGGGGUAACGGCCCACCAAGGCAACGAUCAGUAGGGGUUCUGAGAGGAAGGUCCCCCACAUUGGAACUGAGACACGGUCCAAACUCCUGCGGGAGGCAGCAGUGAGGAAUAUUGGUCAAUGGGCGAGAGCCUGAACCAGCCAAGUAGCGUGCAGGAUGACGGCCCUAUGGGUUGUAAACUGCUUUUAUAAGGGAAUAAAGUGGGUCUCGUGAGACUUUUUGCAUGUACCUUAUGAAUAAGGACCGGCUAAUUCCGUG
rnacentral:rRNA from 1 species